AUCCCAUUGUACUUAACUGAAUUUUAUAACGCUGAUCGAUAUCUUGGUAAAAUAUUCAUUUUUAAACUAGCGGGCAGUGAAAUCUUUGCUUUGUGUGCUAAAGUCAACAGUCGCUCGGUUUGAGCUCAAAUAAAUGCGGAGAUGCCUCGGCUCAGAGCAGUCGGCCACCUCCCUUCGAGCGCUGGACGCUCCGCCGCCCGCCAGCCCGCCGCACCACAGUGUCACUAAAAUCGGACGUGCUUCAGAAACUGAGCGGCACCGCUUUGCUUAUUCCGAAAUGAGCCCCACACCACAGGCUGCCAGGUUCUUCUCCCUGUAAGUGCCGCUGCCGAGCCUAAGCCACCCAAGCUAUACGCUGCGGGGGCUGCUGGCGCUGGUCCGGGAGGGCGGCGGGCGGCGGGCUGGGGGCCCCGGCCCCACACACGCUUGGCGCAGCCGGGGCUACCGGGCCGCUGGGUCUGCGGAGUAGCGGGCCAAGCCCCGGAGCCUUCGCGCUCAUUUGUUGCGCUUUCCCACGUCGGGGAAGCCUGAAAUAUGGAAACGUGGCACUUUGCUUCGCUAACGCAGGAGUUCCCAGGGUCUUGAUGGAGAAAGACCAAAAGAGGAAGUGUCAAAAAUCUACUUUUUAGAAGUGAGACGUCUAAAAGUAAUAAGCAGGGGUGGCAGGGCGUGCGGGGGCGGGUCAUUCUUGCCUUUUUCCAAGUUCUAAAGCGCGGGAAACACACGCUUAGAGGCCAACCCAUCAGAUGGGGCCAAUCUCACCCCCAGUCGCCUGGGUGCUGCAAACUUUAGUCCUCUCCCGCCCCUCCCCCAUUUCUCUCCAACCUGGGCGAAAACCAGCGCGCCAGCCGUUCUCCAGUAGACGCCAAAUGCGGCCGCGUUCGGAGAGAGCCCGCAGAGCCCUAGUGGCGCAGCAGGAAGUGCAGGUGGAACCGCCGGCGGCGCUCUGCGCGGACCCGGCCUGGGGUCAAGGGUGGCAGCCGGACCCAGGUCGGGUGGAAGCCGGACCCAGGCAGGCGCGCCCACAGAGUUAAUAGGGACUGUGGGGACGCUGGGGAUGUCGGCAAUGGUUAGGUUGUGCUGGCGUGGCCUUGGAAAACUUUCAUCUCAUUUGAUGACCCUCGAGGAUAUUCAUUCCCCACCCUCCCCAACCUGCCUUCCUCUAGUUUGAACAUCCAUCCACCUGGGCAGGUCCGGGAUGGCCAAGGGUGGUCUGGCUUUUUCUCCCAUGGGGAGCAGAGACAACCGGUGGCCUCCGCGUCACGCAGUCCUCCCUCCGGACCUCCAGCUCAGCCCUUGUAGAUUUGAAGGGCAGAGGCUGUUGCAGAAAUGCAGUAAAUCCAGUCCUACGAACCCAGAUAGGAGCGGGAUGAAGAGUAGCGGAAGCCAAUUUAUAUUUGAAGCCUACCUCUUUAUUGCCUUUCCAUGGAUCAACACUAGCUUUAUUUCCGUUCCAGGGAUCAAGACUAGCUCAACUAUGGCUGAGAAAACAACCCAUGUUCCCCAGAGUUUAAAACCUGCCCAUAAGUUGUGGUCGUGUUUUGGAGAUUCGGGAUCCUAUUUCCAAGGAGAGUUGUCCGGGGCGUGUUUAUGUUUGUUAUUUUCAAAACCAAGCAAAGGAAACAGCAGCCAAUUAAAAUGAAAUAUUUUUAUUUGCCUCCAACGUUGUCAGUGAUUUGCCCCCUGGGGAUCCACAAUUUUCCCAAGCCUGUUAACGGGUGACAAUGAAUGAGUGCCUCGUGUAAUUUAAUUUUCCUGUCACACUAAAUAGAGCUACAUUGUAAACCUUAGAUCUACUCUUACUGAUAGGAUCGCCUUGUUUUGCCAUUUGCACCAUAAAGACCCCCAAAAGGGACACUGUAUUGUGACCUCUACUCUUGAAUUAUUCAAGAACUUAACGACAUUUUCCAUUUUAAAAAGGGAACUAAUUGCCAUUGAUGUAAAGCAUGUGACCUUCCCUGGGUGCCCAGUAUGAGAAUGUAACCAUCUGUGUGUGCGUACAGGAGCUGCAGAAAGCGGGCAAAAAUUGGAGAAAGUUGUAAACAUAAAUUAGCUCAAAAUAGACAUGGAAUUAAGCACAUUAUUUAACUCCACGCCCAUGACAUAGGUUUCCAGAAAGUUCUCUUAUGUGACCUAAAAUCCUUAUAAAAUCUCAUAUCAACUCAGGCCUGUUUGGGGGCAUGGCAUGACUUUUUAUCUAGAACAGUAAUAUUUGAAUUAGUGAAAUCCGGUAUAUCUUCAUUAAUGUGAAAUCACUUCGUGUGAUGUCAAGCAAAAUAUCUAAUAAUCUGCUCCCUUUCCUCCUCCUCCCCCUCCUCCCCUCUCCCCAUCUCCCAUCCUCCUCUUUGGUCCCUUCUUCCUCCUCCUCCUCCUCCUCCUCCUCCUCCUCCUCCUUCUCUUCACCUUCCUUAAUUUCAUUAUUUUCUUACUCAAUAGGAAAAAGAAACUCACAACUGUAAAUAAAUUGUACCUCGGUAUUUGCUAUUUGAACCAGUCUUAAGUUUCGAGGAAAGCUGGCAUUGAAAUUCUUCAGGACCAGAAUUCUCACUCUUCAAAUUCCUUGAAAAUGGAUGCCUAUCUUUCCUCAAAGUCAAAAGACUCCCAGUGUAUUUUCUACUGUCCAUUCACUCUGUCCCUUACCCCUAAAGAAAAACAAAAACAGAGAAAAUGUUCUUUGGUUUCACAAUUUCAGUGUGCAAAGAUACCCUGAUGCUUUUCCUGAUCUAUCUACCAAGUCCACAGCCAAUAUUAACCAUUUUAAAAGAGUAAGUAAAUUGGAAAGUAAAACACAUUCCUGGGCUGGGCUACAAAUAACUUCUUUUGAACUUUUAAGUGAUGCUUUCAACAAGGAAUUUCGUCAUUUGGGCAGAGAACGGACAGUUCCUUUUUAAUAAACACACCAUGGCUUAAUUGAGAACUAAGUAACUUCUCUCUGUUAGGCUGUGUGAAUCCACACCUCUAGUUUGUAGAAUUUCUCUGGGGGG